rnacentral:rRNA from 1 species
UGAAGAAUCCUGGACAAUGGGCGAAAGCCUGAUCCGGCGAUACCACGUGAAUGAUGAAGGCCUUAGGGUUGUAAAGUUCUUUUAGUGAAGAUGAAAAUGACAGUAUUCACAGAAAAAGUCCCGGCUAACUUCGUGCCAGCAGCCGCGGUGAUACGAAGGGGGCAAGCGUUACUCGGAAUUAUUGGGCGUAAAGCGUGCGUAGGCGGGGUUACAAGUUGCAAGUGAAAGCCUUUGGCUCAACCAAAGAAUUGCUUGCAAAACUGUAAAUCUUGAGUCCUAGAGAGGACAGAGGAAUUCCUGGUGUAGGGGUGAAAUCCGUAGAUAUCAGGAGGAAGGUCAAAUGCGAAGGCAUCUGUCUGGAUAGGUACUGACGCUGAGGUACGAAAGCGUGGGGAGCAAACAGG